GGGGAAUUCGUCUAGUGGUAAGACGCGGACUUCGCAACUUUGACUUGCUGAUUGUCUGAAACCGGUGUUCGAUUCACCGAUUCUCCA
rnacentral:tRNA from 2 species